rnacentral:pre_miRNA from 1 species
CCGAUGUUACGACGGCUUUACAUGAAAUUUGAAUCAUAAAGCUGUCAGUAACGUGGAC